rnacentral:rRNA from 1 species
UACGAAGGGGGCUGGCGUUGCUCGGAAUCACUGGGCGUAAAGCGCACGUAGGCGGAUUCCUAAGUCGGUGGUGAAAUCCUGGAGCUCAACUCCAGAACUGCCUCCGAUACUGAGAGUCUUCGAGUCCGGGAGAGGUGAGUGGAACUGCGAGUGUAGAGGUGAAAUUCGUAGAUAUUCGCAAGAACACCAGUGGCGAAGGCGGCUCACUGGCCCGGUACUGACGCUGAGGUGCGAAAGCGUGGGGAGCAAACAGG